rnacentral:rRNA from 1 species
UACGAAGGGGGCUAGCGUUGCUCGGAAUGACUGGGCGUAAAGGGCGCGUAGGCGGAUGGCACAGUCAGAUGUGAAAUUCCCGGGCUUAACCUGGGGGCUGCAUUUGAUACGUGUUGUCUAGAGUGAGGAAGAGGGUCGUGGAAUUCCCAGUGUAGAGGUGAAAUGCGUAGAGAUGUGGAGGAACACCAGUGGCGAAGGCGACUUUUGGCCUGUAACUGACGCUGAGGCGCGAAAGCGUGGGAGCAAACAGG